GGCUUAGUGGUUAGCAAGCGGUUUGGUUUCCCGUGUCGUGCCAAACAGCUCAAUAGUGGACACCCCUCCACCUCCUCCAUUCAUGGUCGCUAAUAAAGUUAAUAACUCGAGCACCGACAUACCGUCGGUGUGACUUGCUUCGACCACAAGAGUUUGCUGUGUACUAGUGCAGAGUUUUCUCGGGUUUAUGAGGAACUGUUAAGAUGGCGUCAAGCUCUGUGCUCAUGAAUAGACAGUCAACUGACAAGAUCAUUGAAAGGCUUGAAAGCAUAUGUCACUUUUGGAAAGCGGCCUGUAUUCUCUACGAAUUCCACCAGACCAACAGAAGAGCGGCGUCACUGGCUGGCCCCAGUGUUAAGCUGAGCAUGUGUGCAACAUGAAUGAGAGGUCUGUCUGUUGAUCCGCAUUCACUCCCUGGCCCCAUCUCCAUUUGUCUUUCCACUUUUAUUGCAUUUUUUACAUCAGCACCCAUUGGUAAUAAUCACCCAAACAUACAAUAUACAAAAGUCCUAUUCAGUGGAUCUGCAAAAGUCCAAAAUAUUUGCUGCAGUUGACGGCGAUAGACGUCCAAUCCAUUUUUAACAGGGGGUGCUGGCAGUGAUAAUUCAGCCAAUGAGUAAAUGGGAAGAUCUAUUAUUUUGAACACAUUUUAAGGUUUGUCAUGCUGAGGCUGCAAAUAGUUGUUGACGUAUAAGAUUAAAGUGACUGUUAUUUUUGUCCAUGAGUUGAUGAUGAUUUACUUACUGGU